CCUACGGGCGGCAGCAGUGGGGGAUAUUGCACAAUGGGGGGAACCCUGAUGCAGCGACGCCGCGUGGGUGAAGAAGCGCCUCGGCGCGUAAAGCCCUGUCAGCAGGGAAGAAAAUGACGGUACCUGAAGAAGAAGCCCCGGCUAACUACGUGCCAGCAGCCGCGGUAAUACGUAGGGGGCAAGCGUUAUCCGGAUUUACUGGGUGGAAAGGGGGCGCAGACGGCGAUGCAAGCCAGGAGUGAAAGCCCGGGGCCCAACCCCGGGACUGCUCUUGGAACUGCGUGGCUGGAGUGCAGGAGGGGCAGGCGGAAUUCCUGGUGUAGCGGUGAAAUGCGUAGAUAUCAGGAGGAACACCGGUGGCGAAGGCGGCCUGCGGGACUGCAACUGACGUUGAGGCCCGAAAGCGUGGGGAGCAAACAGGAUUAGAUACCCCAGUAGUC
rnacentral:rRNA from 1 species